rnacentral:rRNA from 1 species
UACGUAGGGUGCGAGCGUUAAUCGGAAUUACUGGGCGUAAAGCGUGCGCAGGCGGUUUUGUAAGCCAGGUGUGAAAUCCCCGGGCUCAACCUGGGAAUGGCAUUUGGGACUGCAAGGCUGGAGUGCGGCAGAGGAGACUGGAAUUCCUGGUGUAGCAGUGAAAUGCGUAGAUAUCAGGGGGAAUACCGAUGGCGAAGGGCAGGUCUCUGGGCUGACACUGACGCUCAUGCACGAAAGCGUGGGGAGCAAACAGG